GUUUCUUCCGGUACAUCCGAUGAAAUUGGAACAAUACAAAUAAGAUUAAAAUAGCCUCUCUGCAAAGAUGACAUGCAAAAAAAUCGAAAAUGGUCCAAUUGUU